AAAUUGAAGAGUUUGAUCAUGGCUCAGAUUGAACGCUGGCGGCAGGCCUAACACAUGCAAGUCGAGCGGAAACGAGUUAUCUGAACCUUCGGGGAACGAUAACGGCGUCGAGCGGCGGACGGGUGAGUAAUGCCUAGGAAAUUGCCCUGAUGUGGGGGAUAACCAUUGGAAACGAUGGCUAAUACCGCAUGAUGCCUACGGGCCAAAGAGGGGGACCUUCGGGCCUCUCGCGUCAGGAUAUGCCUAGGUGGGAUUAGCUAGUUGGUGAGGUAAGGGCUCACCAAGGCGACGAUCCCUAGCUGGUCUGAGAGGAUGAUCAGCCACACUGGAACUGAGACACGGUCCAGACUCCUACGGGAGGCAGCAGUGGGGAAUAUUGCACAAUGGGCGCAAGCCUGAUGCAGCCAUGCCGCGUGUGUGAAGAAGGCCUUCGGGUUGUAAAGCACUUUCAGUCGUGAGGAAGGUAGUGUAGUUAAUAGCUGCAUUAUUUGACGUUAGCGACAGAAGAAGCACCGGCUAACUCCGUGCCAGCAGCCGCGGUAAUACGGAGGGUGCGAGCGUUAAUCGGAAUUACUGGGCGUAAAGCGCAUGCAGGUGGUUUGUUAAGUCAGAUGUGAAAGCCCGGGGCUCAACCUCGGAAUUGCAUUUGAAACUGGCAGACUAGAGUACUGUAGAGGGGGGUAGAAUUUCAGGUGUAGCGGUGAAAUGCGUAGAGAUCUGAAGGAAUACC
rnacentral:rRNA from 1 species